rnacentral:tRNA from 1 species
GAUACUUUUAGUUUAACGGAUAAAACUCUAGUCUUCUAAAUUAGAAAUAAAGGUUCAAAUCCUUUAAAGUAU